ACUGUGGCUAAUGUCCAUUUAGAUGUGCGCAUUUUUAUUAGUUACAGAUUUUUGGUAGCAUGAGCGGCGGGUUUCGGCGGCCGCGGUCGGCGCUGCCGUCGUGUCUAGUGCGCGCCCCUCUGACCGGCGCCAUGAGAGCGGCUUCGCCUGUGGAUCUCAUGGACAGUGCGUGCAUCAUUAACCUUCUAUAGUCCUCCCCGGCGAAUCGCAUCACAUCGCCGGCCGGAGCGCCGGCCAUCUGGCCGUUCCUCUUUGCGGUGUGGUACGCCGUCUCGGCCGAAGCUGCAAUCUCCUCCGGCGCCCGCGUUGCUGAGCGGAGUUUCCUCAUGCAGCAGCAGCGCCGGCAACUCCUAUCCAUCUACCAAAGAAAGUGGCAUUAUCUUAUCCAUUCAGUAUGCAUCUUUUCCUCUUUACUGUGCGUUUGCACGAACAGGUGCAUAUCUCCCUUUGCCUUACCAUCUCCUCUUUGUAUUAAAUAAAUUUGAGCAGCUUAUGUUUGCAUCUUGCUGUAAAGUGUACUUGAGAGACGAUGGUAGAGGAGCCAUCAAGGAAAUUGCUGGCAGAUGCAGCUACGAAAUUACUUGUUCCAGUACUUUUUAUUAUUUGUGAAAUUGGAUAUGACUGGUAGGCUAUGUAAGAAAGAAAUUUUAUAGUAAUUGAGAAAAUGAUCUUGGUUCUUCAAUGGCUCUGUAACUUUAGAGCCACGUCCCUAAUGCAUACAUAUAUAACUGGUAUUAAUCUUGUCAAAUCAGUUGUUAGCCCUUGCUCGCAUAUUUUUGUUUACCUGUAAAUGCAGAGAGAAGUACCUUGCUGACAAAUAUAAUAUUUCAGAGAUAACCAUUUAAAACAAUUUUAAAAACAAAUUUAAAACAGAUAAGGCUGCUAUGUCUUUCCAGAAAAAAAGGCUGCUAUGUCUGCAACAUAUUAUAUUUGGUCAUUUAAGAAUGUUUGUAUUUGUUCUUAACUUCUAUUUCUAGUUAUUUAAAAAAUAUCUAUAAUAUAUCCUUGUAAACAAUGUUUUUUGCAACCUUGUCGGAUGGACGCUCUUCAUCUGAUAUAAGUAUCCGCAAUCCAUUUCUGCUGGUAACCCUUGACAUUGCAACAUAGAGUUGGCCAUGUGUGAACACUUGCCUUUCUAAGUAGAGUCCAACCUUUUUGAGAGAUUGCCCCUGACUUUUGUUUAUUGUCAUAGCAAAGCACACUGAUAUUGGGUAUUGUCUCCUUUUCAGAAUGAAAGGCCAUUUUGAAUCACUUGGUGACAUAAUAAUUCGUGGGAUGUAAACUUUGUCACCAAUGUUAGUACCUGUUAUGACCUGGCCUUCGAUGAAACGCUUUCCUAGCUAUGUUAUUGUUAGUCUUGUCCCAUUGCAAAGUCCUGCACUUUGAUUGAUGUUCCUCAUAAGCAUUACUGGUAAUCCUAUUUUCAGCCUCAGUUCAUGAUCUGGUAUUCCAGAAAAUGUUAGACUAUUUAGAAAUUCAGUUGGGUACAACAUAUCUUCGUCUUCCACCGUAGACAUUGCCUUGCAUGUUGUAUCUGAACUGAGAUAGGUUACCUCUUCUCCAGGAAUUUGACUCAUGAUGUAGGUGUUAAUCUGGUCAACAGUCUCGUUCCUUGGGCACAGGAUCGCUCUUUCCUCUAGUUUGCAAAUUCAGCUGUCUUUGCUUUCUCUUCUGGACUACCUUCGGAUGAAUUCAGACGCAUAUUUUCUGAUUUGUCUGAAGUCACCUCCCAAGACUACUGUCAUUCCUCCAAACGGUCUAUGCUCGGCAUCCUCAUUUGUGAAUCGAAAAUCGAACUAUCUGGUAGUGGCAUUCCUGGAAAAUCUUUGAGGGACUUACCACCUUUAGCCAAUAGGUGUUCGAUCUCUGCCAAGAGGAGGCUCUUUAUUUGCAAUGAGAUCAGUCACCUCGCAAAAUAAAAGUAUUGUGCAGAAAAGUUGGCGCAUUUGAGGAGCAGAGGCCCAAUGGGAUGCUUCCUUGAUGCAGUCAUCCCACUCCUUGUCGUCAUUAAGUAGCCCAAGAGCAUAACAUGCAGAUUUGUAUGUUGGAUAUACAACCCCAUCAACUGUUCGGGUUUCUUCAUAGGAUCUGCAUCCUUUCACGGCAUUUAGAAGCAUUCUCAAGUAGUAUUUUUCACCGCUUGUUGGUUGUGCAUAGUAAAUCCUGCCUAUGGUUUUUUUACCACCACGUCUUUUCCUCCAUUCUUUCUCUUUUGCAUGCCAAGUCCAUUUGGUUGGAAACUGUGCAUACGUCAAACUGCGAGCUUCCUCAUGCAAUUGGUUGGCUGUCAUCCAUUCUGUGAACAUAGUCUUUUCUAUGUUAGGCCGAUAUAUGAUUUUAUCUAAAUCCAUCGAGUCUGGGAAUACCACAACAUGUUCAUUUUCUAGGUGAAAUUGUAACCUUUCAACCGCAGGCUCUCUAUACUGAAGAGGAAACUGAAAUAUGCGCCAUGCGGCUUCACAUCCAGAAAUGUACCGAGCAUCAAGGUAUCUCUUGAUUUCGUCGUCCCUGUUUGUUAAUUUGCCACCUCUUGUUUCUCUUUGUUGCUCUUCUGUUUCUAUUAAUACAGUUGUUCGAUCUUCUCCUUUGUGGAUGUAUUUGAAUAAAUACUUUAUAGACCUUGAUCUGUUGCACCAUUCAACAUUUAUGUGGGCUUGAUACUUGACCAGUAUGUUUCUAUUGUAUGGCACAACAAAUGUAUUGUCUAGCUUCACUCCGUUUUUGUCCACAGUAUUGCCAUCAUCUCGUCUUCUAUAUACUGGAUAGUUAUCUUCAUCUAUUGUAGUUUCAGUGCAAAAACUCUUGGGGAAAUGUUUGGCACAACUUUUAUCGACCAUGCAUGGUGAUUUUGGGUGUGCUUGACCGCAAGGACCAUGUAUCAUGUUAUUUUGGCACUGCUUCAUACCCAUCUGGAUCACUAUUCUUGUCAGGAAUUUCGGCUGAUAUGAUUUUGUCGAUCUGGGAAGGACUGGGAUCUUUAUCAUCUGGAUGUAGAAACACCAGUACAUGUGCAUGAGGGAGGCCUCUUUUUUGGAACUCUAUCGUGUAGACAACUGCAUGCAAGUAAAGAAAUUUUAGAAGAAAUGAUUUUGGACAAUCAUCUAGGCAAUAGUAAAUCUGUAGUUGGUUGGUAAACUUACUCGCAAUUGUUUGUCCAAAACACUUCUCGUUCUUUAUGUCAUACAUAAGUUCCUUCAGUUUUAACAUGAAUACUCUGGCAACAAUGUCUGGACGAUCUUCAGGUUUCUAGCCUGGAAUCAGAUCCAACAUAUCCUGUAUUUCCGGCCAUUUCGGAUUGCAUGUAAAAGUGAUGAAGAGAUCAGGAUAGCCAGCCCAAGGACAAAUCGCCAUGGCAUCUUGGUAGUUUUGCUGCUUAUUUCUAGGGCUACCAUUAUAUGUUGAGGGUAGUAUGAUUCUUUGGCCAACUUGUUCAGUUCGUGUAUCUCCAUUUUCUAUUGCAUCAUGCAGUCCUCUGUAUAGUUCUGUCCUCAGCUUACCUUGGUUUGUCCUGUACCAAUUUAGUCUCCAUUGUUCAAUGCACGUUGCUGCAUCAACUAAGAACUGUAGGAACAAACGUCCACUCAUUUGCAAGGUUGUUGCUUGGUUAAGACGUUGUUGGAUGCGAUAUGCAUAAAACUCCAGCAUUGUUACAUACUUUCUCUUACACUUGUCGCCUCUCUUUUUUUGAUACUCUAUUUCUGGUCUGAACCCAUCUUCUCCAUAUGGAAAAAGCAAGGGGUAUUGCAUUGACAUAUAGCUUGGGUGAAACUCUGAAAUCCUCUGUAACAUUCUGUCUUUGGUCUCAAUUAUUAUAUCAAAUUCAUUAUUUUCUCCGUCUUGUUCCCCGAUAAUUAGUGCUGCAACUUCUGAGGCAGAUGGGAGGUUGUAUUGUAGUCCAUCUUUUGACCUUUUGUUGAUCAAUCUUAGUCUUACAUCUUUAAUAUCUCGGUUUUCGAACCUGUCCCUUGCCAUACGAAACGAUUUGACUAAAACAUUGUGCUCAUCUAGCAUCUCUAGUAGACCUUUGACAAUGUUUUCAUCUGGCUUUGUCUUACUCUCCAUUGAAGUUGAUGCAGUAAUCCUGUUAUGCACUUCAUUUUCUGUGUCAUGUAUGUACAAUUGGGCAAAUUUUGGUUUCGUCACGUCAUCUUUAGGAAGUAAAGUGCCAAUCUGAUGGUAGUUUUGGCCAUUCAAACGGAAAACAUAUGGUCCAGGUGUCUGCUUAUUAAUUUCAUAGUCAACCUUUCCUCCCAUUGAAGUGAACGCGAACAUGGAGUUGUACAACCUGAUGUUCUGGCGAAAAUUGGAUGACUCUCCUCUUUCAUUGUAACGUAGUAGCUGUCGGAGAUACAACGGAGCUUGCUUCAGUGGUGGUAAUUUAAUUUUCCCUUCCUUGCAGCAGAGACCAAAUUUUGGAACUGUGAUGUUACGUGUGUUUGUGCUUCUCUCUCCAUGCCACAUAAUGGCAUUGCAAAAUUCACAAACGCAAUUUGGUUUUCCCAAAUUUGAAACUUGAGUGACAUCCUUUGCUAUAUUUGAUACUUCACAGCCAUUAUUGUCCUUUUCUGUCCUUAUUCGUUUCCUUUCCCUUUUCAGCUGGAGUAUCUCUUUCCUUUUUCGUCUAGCUUCCUUCGUUGCUGCUUUGAUAAUAUCUGAUUGACUAUCAUUAGAUUCUACUGUCGCAAGCUGCGAGGUUCCUUGCUCAGGUACCACAUUGUUUUGAAGGAUGUUGUCUGGAUCAAUCAGUUUCCUGGAAAUAUUCUUGUUCUCCUACUGAUAGUAUGCCAACAAAGAAUUGUAGAUCAUGUACAUGUGUUAUUACCUUUUAAGCAGAGGACAUACUAUAUGGUUUGUAAUUGGCAAACUAAUUUUGAUGUUUGUUCAUCAAUUUCUCUGUAGUUGCAAUUAACAAAGCAUAUGUGAUGAGAUUACAUAGUUGAUGCAUAUAGUAGUGGAAGUUGGUAAUGAAUACCUGCAAGUA